GAUGAACGCUGGCGGCGUGCUUAACACAUGCAAGUCGAACGAAGCACCUUGAUUUGAUUCUUCGGAUGAAGAUCUUGGUGACUGAGUGGCGGACGGGUGAGUAACGCGUGGGUAACCUGCCUCAUACAGGGGGAUAACAGUUAGAAAUGACUGCUAAUACCGCAUAAGACCACAGCACCGCAUGGUGCAGGGGUAAAAACUCCGGUGGUAUGAGAUGGACCCGCGUCUGAUUAGGUAGUUGGUGGGGUAACGGCCUACCAAGCCGACGAUCAGUAGCCGAACCUGGAAGGGGACCCGGCCCAUUUGGACUGGGGACCGGCCCCAAACCCCAACGGAGGCAGGCGGGGGGAAUAAUGUACAAUGGGGGAAACCCUGAUGCAGCGACGCCGCGUGAGCGAUGAAGUAUUUCGGUAUGUAAAGCUCUAUCAGCAGGGAAGAAAAUGACGGUACCUGACUAAGAAGCACCGGCUAAAUACGUG
rnacentral:rRNA from 1 species